rnacentral:rRNA from 1 species
CAAUAGCGUAUAUUAAAGUUGUUGCGGUUAAAAAGCUCGUAGUUGGAUUUCUGCUGAGAACGACCGGUCCGCCCUCUGGGUGUGUAUCUGGCUCUUUCUUGGCAUCUUCUUGGUGAACGUUGCUGCACUUGACUGUGUGGAGCGCUACCCAGGACUUUUACUUUGAGGAAAUUAGAGUGUUUCAAGCAGGCAUACGCCUUGAAUACAUUAGCAUGGAAUAAUAAGAUAGGACCUCGGUUCUAUUUUGUUGGUUUCUAGAGCUGAGGUAAUGAUUAAUAGGGAUAGUUGGGGGCAUUCGUAUUUAACUGCCAGAGGUGAAAUUCUUGGAUUUGUUAAAGACGGACUACUGCGAAAGCAUUUGCCAAGGAUGUUUUCAUUG